rnacentral:rRNA from 1 species
CGGUGGAUGAUGUGGUUUAAUUCGAUGCAACGCGAAAACCUUACCCACCUUUGACAUGUACGGAAUCCUUUAGAGAUAGAGGAGUGCUCGAAAGAGAGCCGUAACACAGGUGCUGCAUGGCUGUCGUCAGCUCGUGUCGUGAGAUGUUGGGUUAAGUCCCGCAACGAGCGCAACCCUUGUCAUUAGUUGCUACAUUCAGUUGGGCACUCUAAUGAGACUGCCGGUGACAAACCGGAGGAAGGUGGGGAUGACGUCAAGUCCUCAUGGCCCUUAUAGGUGGGGCUACACACGUCAUACAAUGGAUGGUACAAAGGGUCGCCAACCCGCGAGGGGGAGCCAAUCCCAUAAAGCCAUUCGUAGUCCGGAUCGCAGUCUGCAACUCGACUGCGUGAAGUCGGAAUCGCUAGUAAUCGCGGAUCAGCACGCCGCGGUGAAUACGUUCCCGGGCCUU